rnacentral:rRNA from 1 species
GACGAACGCUGGCGGCGUGCUUAACACAUGCAAGUCGAACGGAAAGGCCCUGCUUUUGUGGGGUGCUCGAGUGGCGAACGGGUGAGUAACACGUGAGUAACCUGCCCUUGACUUUGGGAUAACUUCAGGAAACUGGGGCUAAUACCGGAUAGGAGCUCCUGCUGCAUGGUGGGGGUUGGAAAGUUUCGGCGGUUGGGGAUGGACUCGCGGCUUAUCAGCUUGUUGGUGGGGUAGUGGCUUACCAAGGCUUUGACGGGUAGCCGGCCUGAGAGGGGGACCGGGCACAGGGGAAGUGAGACACACACAGGGGGCCUGAGAGAGGCCGCAGUAGCGAAGGGGGGGCAACGGGGGGAAAUAUGACAGAGUGGCGGCGCGUGAGUGACGGAGGCCCCCGGUGCGGGAGGAGGUCUUGUGGGGGAAAAACAAUUUUCGCCGGAGAUAAGGGGGGAUUGACGGUAAGGGAUAAGAAAGCCCCGGCUAACUACGUG